rnacentral:sRNA from 1 species
GCCUGCUUUAAAGCACAUUAGGGGGAUUCUGGGGUGGGUGCCCUCUACCUUACUCCUUCUCUAGGGACAUUCCAGAACCAUUACCAGGGCUUGGGGGCUGGAAAUUGUUGCUGACUCAUUCAUUGUCCUUGCUUCAGGCCAGAAGGCGGGCAGCUUUUGAUUGCAGGGCUAUUUCUGAAUAGCUGUCUGAAACCUGGGUUUUUUUCUAGUCCCUGACUUCCCCGGGCUUGCCUGGACUUCCCCAGUUCUUAGGCCUAGUCUCCUGAACUGCCAAUUUGAAGCCUGUCAUGGAGUCGUCCAGCCUUCUCAACAGAAGGAGGAAAAAUGUGUGUAACCUAACUUAAACGUUCCACGGUACAUACACGUGUCAAAAUAGCACCCGCACCUCAUUAACAUGUGCCUUUGUUUUUGUCAGUUCAAUUUCUUUUAAUUUGUUUUACUUUUAAAGGAAUAAAAAAAACCUAACAAAUACUGUCACUGCCUCUGCUCAGAAGAUAUCAGAUGAGAGAGCUAUAUUGAACUAUCUCCCAACAGUAUUACAGACAAACUGGAAAAGAAAGGUCCUUGGACAUUCCCCUUCUUCUGGACUCAGAGUGAAUUGGGAUUUGUUUGAUUCUUGGCGUAUUUCCCCUUCAUCUCCUUGUCAUCCAGGCCGAUGGCUCUUCCUCCUUAAUCUGCUACAUAGACAUGACAGAGAUGUGUCUGUUUAACAUGGCCUUCCUUUGGGCUGUGGCCAGUUCUUCCACUGUCACCCCUGUUUAUACAGUGCGGACGCCUGACAGACAGGACUCUUCAUAGAUCUUUUACCUAAGCCUUGCUGGCCAUGUAUCGUUGUUCACUGUCAUUGUUGUCAUUUGGAAGAGACGUGGGA